rnacentral:rRNA from 1 species
AAAGUUCCCUUCGGGGAACAAGUAGAGUGGCGCACGGGUGAGUAACACGUAGGUAAUCUACCUUUGGAUGGGGAAUAACACCGAGAAAUCGGUGCUAAUACCGCAUAAUGCAGCGGCACCUAAUGGUGACAGUUGUUAAAGCGGGGGAUCGCAAGACCUCGCGUCUAAAGAGGAGCCUGCGGCGGAUUAGCUAGUUGGUAAGGUAACGGCUUACCAAGGCGAUGAUCCGUAGCCGGCCUGAGAGGGCGGUCGGCCACACUGACACUGAUAUACGGGUCAGACUCCUACGGGAGGCAGCAGUCGGGAAUUUUGGGCAAUGGGCGAAAGCCUGACCCAGCAACGCCGCGUGAAGGAUGAAAUCCCUCGGGAUGUAAACUUCGCAAGAACGGGAAGAAUAAGUUGGUGUGAACAUCACCAGCGAUGACGGUACCGUUUGUAAGCUCCGGCUAACUCCGUGCCAGCAGCCGCGGUAAUACGGGGGGAGCAAGCGUUGUUCGGAUUUACUGGGCGUAAAGGGCGCGUAGGCGGCCACCGCAAGUCGAUUGUGAAAUCUCCGGGCUUAACCCGGAAAGGUCAACCGAUACUGCGGGGCUAGAGUGCAGAAGGGGCAACUGGAAUUCUCGGUGUAGCGGUGAAAUGCGUAGAUAUCGAGAGGAACACCUGCGGCGAAGGCGGGUUGCUGGGCUGACACUGACGCUGAGGCGCGAAAGCUAGGGGAGCGAACGGGAUUAGAUACCCCGGUAGUCCUAGCCUUAAACGAUGGAUGCUUGGUGUCUGGGGUUUUAUAGUCCCCGGGUGCCGUCGCUAACGCUUUAAGCAUCCCGCCUGGGGAGUACGGUCGCAAGACUG